UGGUUAAAGCAUGCAAGUCGAGCGAACCCGCAAGGGUGAGCGGCGAAAGGGUCAGUAAUACGAUCGAACGUGCCCCGAGGUGGGGGAUAGCGGUGGGAAACUGCCGGCAAUACCCCAUGAUCUCUCCGGAGCAAAGGUUUACCCCCUUGGGAUCGGCGAUCGUCCUAUCAGCUAGUUGGCGGGGUAAAGGCCCACCAAGGCUAUGACGGGUAGCAGGUGUGAGAGCACGCCCUGCGACAUCGGCACUGAGACACUGCCCGGACUCCUACGGGAGGCUGCAGCGACGAAUCUUCCGCAAUGGGCGCAACCCUGACGGAGCGACGCCGCGUGUGGGAUGAAGCGCCUUCGGCGUGUAAACCAC
rnacentral:rRNA from 1 species